ensembl:antisense 1700061H18Rik RIKEN cDNA 1700061H18 gene
AUUCUCAGUCUCAGAGGGCAGUGUUUGGUGUCAAAUGAGCCCUGAAGAUUCUCUGAGUUCCUCUUCAUACCAACUGGUAGAGAUAUAUCAAUUCUCUUAACCACAUGGAAGGACAUGAGACUGUGGCAUGGAGCUGCUGAUCUUUUCUUCUCAUGUUUUCCAUGAGCAAAUCCAGACAGGUGGGGUCUGUGGUGGAGUCUGAGCCAUUCUGAAUAUUUCCAGAUCCCUGAAAGGAACAAACACAGAAAUCUUCAAGCCAACUCUCCCUUUCUUCUGUGAGCAUUGGCAAUAAUGAUGACCAUUCCCUACAGAAGCCAGAGAGGACUCAAGCCAGCGAAAAGAACUCUUUGAAUCCCAACUUUCAAGGGUUAAUUCUGGAUAAACAAGCUAGCUUCUGAGUCUGCUCAAAUUUACACAGUCUUAUAAGGACAUGCAUCCUUUCUGCACUUUAUACUUCCUACUGCUUUUAAAUAGUUAUGCAUGUGCAUAUAUAUAUAUAUAUAUGUAUUUAUGUAUGUAUAUGUGUGUAAUAUACAUAUAUGUGUGUGUAUAUAUAUCUCACAUAUGAAUCAUAACCAUGAGACUGGAUUAAUUAAAGUCAUACCUAUCAGUAUAUUUUGAUUAAACAGAACCGGAUAGC